rnacentral:lncRNA from 1 species
GGAAGGCAAGAAAUUAUAUUCCAUUGUCUAUUUAAAACGUUGUCAUUCACAGUUUUAAUCCCAUUGAGUAAAAUCCUGAGACGACAAGAAAGACUUCGUGACGAAAUGACCUUAUCACGAGAAAGAAAAUCGUUACAAUACACCCCCGUACCCUAGAUAAAUGUCUCAUGCACUUUACAAGAGGCAGUUAACGAAGAUAAAUCAUCAUUUCG